UAAGCCAGGGCAGAAUGCUUGUGAAGUAGCAACUAAAGUGGCAGUGUUUCUUCUGAAAUUCUCAGGCAGUCAGACUGUCUUAGGCAAAUCUUGAUAAAAUAGCCCUUAUCCAGGUUUUUAUCUUAGGGAUCCCAAGAAGACUGGGGAAUGGAGAGACAGUCAAGGGUUAUGUCAGAAAAGGAUGAGUAUCAGUUUCAACAUCAGGGAGCGGUGGAGCUGCUUGUCUUCAAUUUUUUGCUCAUCCUUACCAUUUUGACAAUCUGGUUAUUUAAAAAUCAUCGAUUCCGCUUCUUGCAUGAAACUGGAGGAGCAAUGGUGUAUGACAAGCCGCCGAAAUUUGCCAUGUCACGAGAGCAAAUGUCACAGUCAUGUUCUCACACGGCACAUAAUGCAAGUCUGUUGACAGAUGCGGGUCCAUUGUCAUGUGGGGAGUCGAGGGCGAGCUGUUUGUUUUUGUAAUGAUGUUGGGAAGUGAUGGCUCUGCAGUCACAAAGAGCAGCCUUCUCUCACUGGCUGCACCGAUGAACAUUACGAAGUUCUAGAAAAAACAUCACUUCAAAAUGCCUGGAGUAAUUCCUCUUAUAUCAACUAAUUUCAAGAAGAAAACUUGCAGAAACUAACCCCACCCCUCUUAAGAGAAUAUUGUGUCCGAGUCCUUUUUAUUUAUAUGAACAGUGUCUUAUUUUCUUAUAAUAAAAAGUUAUAAAUAAAA
rnacentral:sRNA from 1 species